UACAGAGGGGGCAAGCGUUGUUCGGAAUUACUGGGCGUAAAGGGCGCGUAGGCGGCCUUCUAAGUCGAACGUGAAAUCCCCGGGCUCAACCCGGGAACUGCGUCCGAUACUGGAAGGCUUGAAUCCGGGAGAGGGAUGCGGAAUUCCAGGUGUAGCGGUGAAAUGCGUAGAUAUCUGGAGGAACACCGGUGGCGAAGGCGGCAACCUGGUCCUUGACUGACGCUGAGGCGCGAAAGCGUGGGGAGCAAACAGG
rnacentral:rRNA from 1 species